AAUUUUGGACAAUGGGGGAAACCCUGAUCCAGCCAUCCCGCGUGUCUGGUUAAUGCCUUCGGGUUGUAAAGUACUUCUGGCAGAGAAGAAAAGGUAUCUCCUAAUACGAGAUACUGCUGACGGUCUCUGCAGCAUAAGCACCCGCUCACUACGUGCCAGCCGCCGCGGUAAUACGUAGGGUGCAAGCGUUAAUCGGAAUUACUGGGCGUAAAGCGUGUGUAGGCGGUUCGGAAAGAAAGAUGUGAAAUCCCAGGGCUCAACCUUGGAACUGCAUUUUUAACUGCCGAGCUAGAGUAUGUCAGAGGGGGGUAGAAUUCCACGUGUAGCAGUGAAAUGCGUAGAUAUGUGGAGGAAUACCGAUGGCGAAGGCAGCCCCCUGGGAUAAUACUGACGCUCAGACACGAAAGCGUGGGGAGCAAACAG
rnacentral:rRNA from 1 species